rnacentral:rRNA from 1 species
GCAAGUCGAGCGGUAGAGAGAAGCUUGCUUCUCUUGAGAGCGGCGGACGGGUGAGUAAUGCCUAGGAAUCUGCCUGGUAGUGGGGGAUAACGUUCGGAAACGGACGCUAAUACCGCAUACGUCCUACGGGAGAAAGCAGGGGACCUUCGGGCCUUGCGCUAUCAGAUGAGCCUAGGUCGGAUUAGCUAGUUGGUGGGGUAAUGGCUCACCAAGGCGACGAUCCGUAACUGGUCUGAGAGGAUGAUCAGUCACACUGGAACUGAGACACGGUCCAGACUCCUACGGGAGGCAGCAGUGGGGAAUAUUGGACAAUGGGCGAAAGCCUGAUCCAGCCAUGCCGCGUGUGUGAAGAAGGUCUUCGGAUUGUAAAGCACUUUAAGUUGGGAGGAAGGGCAGUAAAUUAAUACUUUGCUGUUUUGACGUUACCGACAGAAUAAGCACCGGCUAACUCUGUGCCAGCAGCCGCGGUAAUACAGAGGGUGCAAGCGUUAAUCGGAAUUACUGGGCGUAAAGCGCGCGUAGGUGGUUAGUUAAGUUGGAUGUGAAAUCCCCGGGCUCAACCUGGGAACUGCAUUCAAAACUGACUGACUAGAGUAUGGUAGAGGGUGGUGGAAUUUC